AGGAGGGAGGGAGCAAACAGGUGACAUGGCCGAGUCAUCUCCCAAAGAUCAAGGUUGUCCUGACUGCUGUGGGUUAAACGGCCCCAUCUCUGAUGUCCGCAGCUAACUUUAUUGAGGAGGCGCGGGUUCAGUUGGACAUGAUGGUUCAUGCAUGCCUGUGACUGAUUCUGGCACUCAGAAGACUGAGGCAGGAGGAUUGUUAUGAGUUUAAAACCAGACUGGGUUACAGAACAAAUACCAGGUGAGACUCUGCCUCAAAACAGCAACACGAACAAAAUUUUCCUGUGUCAUGGAAAUCCAGAAAGGACAUUUAUUGCAAGUGAAAAAAACAAGAACAAAACUUCAGACAAGGCAAAUUUCACAGACUUUAACUGAGCAAAGAAUACCUGGUGAACGGGGAGGCCCACAGAAUAUUAAUGUGUUUGAAAAGCUGCCUGCAACAUGGUCAGGUAGCAUUCAUGCAUAGAAAACCGGGGUGAGGUGUUCAGAUUGCUUAAUUGGUUUCACAUCUAUGUUUGCCUGAUUUGAGUCGCUUGGCGGCCCGUGAAUGACGGAAGCUCGGGGCUGUAAAACUCAACUUCUGGCUACACUCAGAUAUUUAAAUGAUAAGCCAAGGUGCAGAUCAUGUGAUCUAGACUACCGAGGCAUCCUAAGGCCAAAAGUUAAGCACAUUGUUGAGGUCCUACAGUUGUCAGAGUUCUCAAAUUGAGCACGAAGGAACCACCACUGUGGCACUCUAGCAGAGGCAGGAACACUGAUCCCACACCUAGAACUCUGGCUCAGGAAGUCAAGCAGGAUGGUCUUUCCCAGAUGUCCUCAUCUUAACACUGGACUCUCCAGCACCCAGAAUGAGUCUACUCCUUCAGGAUUCCAACAUAGAAUAAAGACCAGCAGCUCUCCAGGAAUCGUCCAGGCCUCCAGUACCAGGCUGGGACUGCCGAGACAUCAGCCUCGUGGACUGAACAACUACGGGAUUUCUUAGCCUCUGCACUGUGAGACAGCCAUUGCUGGACACACACCACAGCCUGUGAGCCAAUAUAAUAAAGCUUCU